rnacentral:lncRNA from 1 species
UUCAGGCUGAAUUGGAUGGGGUGGCAAAACUUCCAAGAUCAGCUCUAAUAGUUCCUCCAUAUCUAACUCUGGUCUUUGUUGCUCUAUCUCUUCUUCUUGUUGCUCUAUCAGCUGUGGUCAUAUAACCCCAAAAGAAAAGAAAGGAGCUCAUUACGCACAUCUGAGAAACAACAGUACCACCAGCAACGAUAUAGAUGUCUCUGUCAUUUACUGCAAAGGAUCGCCACUUAAGAGUCUUGAAUUUAAGUAAAAUCAACAAGAUGACAGCUCGACUGUCGAGUGGAAAUCCCAACCUCUUAGGAAGGAAGAGUUGAUCUCUUUGUAAUAAAGUACUAACAGACUGAAGACAACAAUAGCUGGGCCAAAGCUUCUUCAGAAAACAAUGCAGAGGCAAAGCUCAAAAAAAAUUAUAUUACCAGAUGAAGUUCCACCAAUUGAGAAGGUCUGGUGUUGAUGAUAUUGAGAAUCUCAGAUUGUGCAAUCUUAUAUUUCUUGCUCUUCUUCAGGAACUCAUUGAUG